rnacentral:rRNA from 1 species
CCGAUGCAAACUACGAAUACCGAAGAAUGUUAUCACGGGAGACACACGGCGGGUGCUAACGUCCGUCGUGAAGAGGGAAACAACCCAGACCGCCAGCUAAGGUCCCAAAGUCAUGGUUAAGUGGGAAACGAUGUGGGAAGGCACAGACAGCCAGGAUGUUGGCUUAGAAGCAGCCAUCAUUUAAAGAAAGCGUAAUAGCUCACUGGUCGAGUCGGCCUGCGCGGAAGAUGUAACGGGGCUAAACCAUGCACCGAAGCUGCGGCAGCGACACUAUGUGUUGUUGGGUAGGGGAGCGUUCUGUAAGCCUGCGAAGGUGUGCUGUGAGGCAUGCUGGAGGUAUCAGAAGUGCGAAUGCUGACAUAAGUAACGAUAAAGCGGGUGAAAGCCCGCUCGCCGGAAGACCAAGGGUUCCUGUCCAACGUUAAUCGGGCAGGGUGAGUCGACCCCUAAGGCGAGGCCGAAAGGCGUAGUCGAUGGGAAACAGGUUAAUAUUCCUGUACUUGGU